AUUGAACGCUGGCGGCAGGCCUAACACAUGCAAGUCGAACGAGUGGCGUACGGGUGAGUAAUGUCUGUGAAACUGCCUGAUGGAGGUGGAUAACUACUGGACACGGUAGCUACUACCGCAUACCAUCAGAUGUGCCCAGAUGGGAUUAGCUAGUUGGUGGGGUAACGGCUCACCAAGGCGACGAUCCCUAGCUGGUCUGAGAGGAUGCCCAGCCACACUGGAACGGAGACACGGGCCAGACUCCUACGGGAGGCAGGAGUGGGGAAUAUUGCACAAUGGGCGCAAGCCUGAUGCAGCCAUGCCGCGUGUAUGAAGAAGGUCUUCGGAUUGUAAAGUACUUUAAGCGGGGAGGCGUUACCGGCAGAAGAAGCACCGGCUAACUCCGUGCCAGCAGCCGCGGUAAUUC
rnacentral:rRNA from 1 species